GACAUAACUAAACUGAUGAGAUAACGAAAAGAGCAGUGUAAUAUA
rnacentral:guide_RNA from 1 species